GCUCCAAUAGCGUAUAUUAAAGUUGUUUGCAGUUAAAAAGCUCGUAGUUGUACCUGUGGCUGUCGUGUGCAGCCUGACACUCGGUGUUAGUGAUUGCAUGCGUCACCAUCCUUGGGUGGAAUCUGGCUGGCAUUAGGUUGUCGUGCAGGGGAAGCCAUCUUUUACUGUGAAAAAUUAGAGUGUUCAAAGCAGGCUUAUGC
rnacentral:rRNA from 1 species